UAGCUGUGUGAAGGCCUGGCUCCGAGAAAGAGACAGGAAACUGAAUUCAAGAAUGGCCCCCACCUGGCCUGCUAGCCCUGUUCAGGUCUGCGUGGGCAGUGAUCUCCAUCCUGUGGUCCCUGGGUCCAUCGCACACCUCGGAGAUUGAUAAGAUUUCCCUUAAGUUGAGUAUUUCCGGCUUGCAUCUCGAACCGUUGCCCGCUGCCAGAAGCCCACACGGCUGCUUUCUCAUCUGUGGGAAACUCCUGACCCUCGGUUCUCCACUGGAUACCAGGUUUGGGUCCUCACCAUACACCAGCAGGAUCAAGAUGUUCUCUGUGGAACAAAGAGGGAAACAGAGGCUCAGAGGUGGCAAGGGAAGGAGCUGAGCCCUCAACUACCUCCAAACGCAGG